rnacentral:snRNA from 1 species
GGGUGACUUGGCUAUGACAUCUGUCACCCUAUUGAUGGCUGGGGUUGACUCAGCUGAACUGGCUGGCCUUAUGUGUACUUGAAGCUGUGCACUUGGUCAAAAGGACCAUUUUCUUGAAUAGAGGAGUACUACUAUUCUUCAGGUAAGGGUACAGGAGUGGCUGAAAAUUCAUGCUAGAAUCUCCAAACAAGUUCUCAAGGCAUGGUUUCACUCUGUAACCCAGGCUGGCCUCAAACUCACAGUAAUCUACCUGU